rnacentral:rRNA from 1 species
ACUCCUACGGGAGGCAGCAGUGGGGAAUAUUGCACAAUGGACGAAAGUCUGAUGCAGCAACGCCGCGUGGAGGAUGACACAUUUCGGUGCGUAAACUCCUUUUAUAUAAGAAGAUAAUGACGGUAUUAUAUGAAUAAGCACCGGCUAACUCCGUGCCAGCAGCCGCGGUAAU